rnacentral:lncRNA from 1 species
AUACGGCUACUCCACCUCCUCCUAGGAAGGAUAGCCAUUGUAAAGACUGGAAGAGGAUCAGAAUAGACAGAGGCUGAGACCCUAAUCUAGCGGCCACUUCUGAGAUCCUUGAAAGGGCAGGUAGAGCCCAAGGCACAAGGACCCUAACAUGUGACCAGCCUCACCCAGCUGUUGUCAUCCAGGAGCGAGAGCCUAGAAUUGCUAGUUCUUCAAAUCUCCCAAGAGCCACCAGAAAUCUGGACUUUCUUGUGAAAUCUCCGUAUUUCUAAAUUUCAGCAACUAGUUCAAAUGUUUUAAAAACACAUCUGGAAGCCAGAUUAUGGCAGUAGGCCAUCAGUUAGGGACCUCUGAUAUUAGAUUAUGAUCCAGAAUACAGACUAAAACAUAUCUACCAUUGGAAGAAACAGUUCUAACGCAUAUUAAUGUCUUCUUCAUGUCAGUGAUUUUCUGAGAGCAGGUGUAGAUGGAAAAAGACAGAAAAAAAAACACGUGGCCACAAUACCUUCAAAGGAGGCUGGAAAAGAGAAGGAAGAGUUGAAGUCAUGCUGGAGAAAAAAAGAGUCUGGAUACCACCUAUAAACUAUUCCUACUUGACUGGUUUAGAUACAGCCAGACU